rnacentral:rRNA from 1 species
UACGUAGGGUGCAAGCGUUAAUCGGAAUUACUGGGCGUAAAGGGUGCGUAGGCGGGUCUUUAAGUCAGGGGUGAAAUCCUGGAGCUCAACUCCAGAACUGCCUUUGAUACUGAGGAUCUUGAGUUCGGGAGAGGUGAGUGGAACUGCGAGUGUAGAGGUGAAAUUCGUAGAUAUUCGCAAGAACACCAGUGGCGAAGGCGGCUCACUGGCCCGAAACUGACGCUGAGGCACGAAAGCCAGGGGAGCGAACGGGG